rnacentral:tmRNA from 1 species
GGGGGCGCAACGGAUUCGACGGGAUUGAAUCGUAGUGGGAAGGCGUGCCGGGUUCCGAGCUCCCGUAAAACGAUCGGAAAACGAUAACUGCCAACACGCAGUUUGCAUACGCUGCCUAAUUAAUUAGGUGGC